rnacentral:rRNA from 1 species
GGGCGAAAGCCUGACCCAGCAACGCCGCGUGAAGGAUGAAGUAUUUCGGUAUGUAACCUUCGACAGAAUGGGAAGAAUACCUGACGGUACCAUUUAUAAGGUCCGGCUAACUACGUGCCAGCAGACGCGGUAAUACGUAGGGACCAAG